GGGGUUGUGGUUCAGAGGUAGAGCACUCACCUAGCACAUGUGAGGCCCUGAGUUUGAUCCCCAGCCCCCG
rnacentral:tRNA from 1 species